rnacentral:sRNA from 1 species
GUGUGGUUUGAUCUAGGUUGUCUGCUGCAGCCUCUUACUUUAAUAUUCGGAAUACCGAACGUUUUAUGUUUUCAAAGGUCUCAAUGACCUCGAGUAGUGUUUCAAUUUUAUGCAUUUGGGCAAAACUGGAUGUUAUCGAUUUUAUUGACUUUGCGUACGGAUUUACCAAGUAUGCAUAAACCAGUCGGGGACAAUACAACCAGAGUAUUAUGGUCCUGCUCUCCGUCCAGACGUUUACUUUUACCACUGUUAAAUGGAGACAAGCACCUGUUUGUACUUUAACCACUGGCCACACUUAACUUAUAUCAGCCAAACGUAAAGCACAAAAGUACACCUUUCUGGGGGACAUCCUCCAUCACAUGUCCCCUCAGCAGUACGGAUAGGCGAGCCUCACCAAUGACGAGAGUGCACACGAACUUUGAAACCACUAAAUUCGUUGUAUGAAAUUGUAUUGCAAAUCAGCAAUCGGAAAGGGAAUAAGAAAUUAUGUUAUUAUUUUUAGAAGCAUUACUGUAGUAUGCGCUUUUACUGAUCGAGACGUUUUCCUAUAAAUACAAUGAUAGAGCAAUUUAGAAAUAAGACACAUUUAUUAUUCAGUAUUGGUUAUCGGAUAUUUUUAUAUUUGUUAUUGAUUUUAAGUGACAUAUUGAUGAAUUAUCAUUAUAAGAUCGCAAAAAAUUGUGAUUACCAUUGAUUGCUGAAUAUAGUGGAAGAAUGGAUCAAGUUAAUACAACAAUAAAUCUUAAUUCGUAGUUACCUACGCGUUAUCAACAGCAUCGUUACAAAUCGUAUUAAAUUACAUAUGGAAUUUUGAUUUUGCCAUGUGAUCAUGAUAUGAAGAAUGUUACAUACUUCUUUUUCUUUAAAUGGAAAUACAUUGAACCUUGUUACUCAAAUAAAUGCUCUUAACAUU